rnacentral:rRNA from 1 species
GACGAACGCUGGCGGCGUGCCUAAUACAUGCAAGUCGAACGCAGUGGGGACGGGUGAGUAACACGUGGGUAACCUCCCAUCAGAGGGGAGAACACUUGGAAACAGGUGCUAAACCGAUACUGAUGGAUGGUCCCGCGGUGCAUUAGCUAGUUGGUGGGGUAACGGCUCACCAAGGCCACGAUGCAUAGCUGACCUUAGAGGGUGAUCCGCCACACUGGGACUGAGACACGGCCCAGACGCCUACGGGAGGCAGCAGUAGGGAAUCUUCGGCAAUGGACGAAAGUCUGACCGAGCAACGCCGCGUGAGUGAAGAAGGUUUUCGGAUCGUAAAGCUCUUUUUUUAGAGAAGCGGUAUCUAACCAGAAAGCCACGGCUAACUACGUGCCAGCCGCCGCGGUAAUUC